CUCCUUCUCUUCUCCACAUGUUGUUUUGUGUUGGUGACCUGGAGGCCAACUUAAAAGAUCUUGUUAUGGGAAAGAAUGGUAGGAGACCACUAUUGCAGUUACUUCAUCCAAAUUCUUCACGUUAUUUCAGUCGUGAUGAUUUGGCCUCUCUUGAUCUGUCUGUUCCAUCACUGUGCUUAAUGGAUAAGUCUGAGACAAAGGACUAAGAUGGCAAUGAAUCUGCUGAGGAGGAGAAAGACGAGCAAGAAGAUAUUGUAACUGAACAGAGCGGUCUUGAAGAAAAUGUCACAAUUGCAGGCAGUAAAAAAGAUCCCUUUUUGAGAAGGCAGGAGUUGCUAGUCAAGAGUGGCCUUGCUGAGGUAUCUUUGAGUGGGACUCUUUUUGUAGAUUUUUUUUGUUGUAGUUUUCUAACCACUCAUGUAUGAGGUAUUGAGUUUUGGCUUCUAUCAUUUUUUUAGUCCUGUUAUAAGAACGAUAGGAGAGAGUUAAAUGGUUGUGUUACCAUAUUUGUUAGGGUAUAUACAAUACUUGUA